UACUGAAUUUUCUUGUAGAUUAUUUUGUUCUAUAUGAUAGAUCAAAGAUCAAAGCUUUUCUCAAACCCUUGUUGCUGGUUCCACGAUCAUCAUGCAUCAAGAGAAGAUCCCAACAUCUGGUAUCAGAGCUUUGGGGAUAGAUUUGGUGGAGGAAAGAUCUAUAGGGACCGGCACCUGUUUCAGCUUGAGGUGGAGCUAGGUACCUUGUUACCUUCAUAGAUGACUUCUUUAGGAGAGUAUGGGUGUAUCUGAUCAGAGAAAAGUCAGAGAUAUUUGCCUGAUUUAAAGCCUGAAGAGCUGAGGUCG
rnacentral:lncRNA from 1 species